rnacentral:rRNA from 1 species
UACAGAGGUCUCAAGCGUUGUUCGGAUUCAUUGGGCGUAAAGGGUGCGUAGGUGGCGAGGUAAGUCGGAUGUGAAAUCUCAGGGCUCAACCCUGAAACUGCAUUCGAUACUGCCUUGCUCGAGGACUGGAGAGGAGAUUGGAAUUCACGGUGUAGCAGUGAAAUGCGUAGAGAUCAUGAGGAAGACCAGUGGCGAAGGCGGGUCUCUGGACAGUUCCUGACACUGAGACACGAAGGCCAGGGGAGCAAACGGG